rnacentral:rRNA from 2 species
GUGGGGAAUAUUGCACAAUGGGGGAAACCCUGAUGCAGCGACGCCGCGUGAAGGAAGAAGUAUCUCGGUAUGUAAACUUCUAUCAGCAGGGAAGAUAGUGACGGUACCUGACUAAGAAGCCCCGGCUAACUACGUGCCAGCAGCCGCGGUAAUACGUAGGGGGCAAGCGUUAUCCGGAUUUACUGGGUGUAAAGGGAGCGUAGACGGUGUGGCAAGUCUGAUGUGAAAGGCAUGGGCUCAACCUGUGGACUGCAUUGGAAACUGUCAUACUUGAGUGCCGGAGGGGUAAGCGGAAUUCCUAGUGUAGCGGUGAAAUGCGUAGAUAUUAGGAGGAACACCAGUGGCGAAGGCGGCUUACUGGACGGUAACUGACGUUGAGGCUCGAAAGCGUGGGGAGCAAACAGG